GCCAUUGUGGCGUAGUGGUUUGAGUGCUCGACUAGGACUUUGUGAGACCAGGGUUCGAAUCCCUGCUCAGCCA